AUUGAACGCUGGCGGCAGGCCUAACACAUGCAAGUCGAGCGGAUGAAGAGAGCUUGCUCUCUGAUUUAGCGGCGGACGGGUGAGUAAUGCCUAGGAAUCUGCCUGGUAGUGGGGGAUAACGUUCCGAAAGGAACGCUAAUACCGCAUACGUCCUACGGGAGAAAGCAGGGGACCUUCGGGCCUUGCGCUAUCAGAUGAGCCUAGGUCGGAUUAGCUAGUUGGUGAGGUAAUGGCUCACCAAGGCUACGAUCCGUAACUGGUCUGAGAGGAUGAUCAGUCACACUGGAACUGAGACACGGUCCAGACUCCUACGGGAGGCAGCAGUGGGGAAUAUUGGACAAUGGGCGAAAGCCUGAUUCAGCCAUGCCGCGUGUGUGAAGAAGGUCUUCGGAUUGUAAAGCACUUUAAGUUGGGAGGAAGGGCAGUAAGUUAAUACCUUGCUGUUUUGACGUUACCGACAGAAUAAGCACCGGCUAACUUCGUGCCAGCCGCCGCGGUAAGAC
rnacentral:rRNA from 1 species